CCUACGGGUGGCAGCAGUGAGGAAUAUUGGUCAAUGGCCGGAAGGCUAAACCAGUCAUGCCGCGUGAAGGUCAGUGCCCUAUGGGCGUUAAACUUCUUUUGUGCGGGAGCAAUAAUGGUCACGUGUGGCCAGACGAGAGUACCGUACGAAUAAGCAUCGGCUAACUCCGUGCCAGCAGCCGCGGUAAUACGGGGGAUGCAAGCGUUAUUCGGAUUUAUUGGGUUUAAGGGGUGCGUAGGCUGUCAGGACAGUCAGGGGUGAAAUGCCCCCGCCCAACGGGGUGAAGUGCCCUUGAUACUGCCUGGCUGGAAUGCGGAUGCGGUGAGAGGAAUGUGUGGUGUAGCGGUGAAAUGCAUAGAUAUCACAAAGAACAC
rnacentral:rRNA from 1 species